rnacentral:rRNA from 1 species
UACAGAGGGUGCGAGCGUUUGUCCGGAGUUACUGGGCGUAAAGCGCACGCAGGCGGUCUCUUAAGUUUGGAGUGACAGUUGGUGGCUUAACUGCCAAAGUGCUUCGAAAACUGAGAGACUUGAGGGCUUCAGAGGGACACGGAAUUCCGGGUGGAGUGGUGAAAUGCGUAGAGAUCCGGAGGAACACCAAAGGCGAAGGCAGUGUCCUGGGGAGUACCUGACGCUCAGGUGCGAAGCCAGGGAGCGAACGGG